GGGCAACUGCCUAGGGUAAUAGACAAUCCUUAUCGUUGCAAGCAGGGGCUGCCUCCUGAGUGGCUGAGAAGACUGGUGGAAUCCAAAGGCUUUCUCCAUCCAGAAGAUGGCUGUCAGUGGUCCAGACUUAACAUCCUUCAAGCUCACCAAAUCCAAGAAGAAUAGGAUUUUCCUCUCCAGCUCCAAUUUUGAAAUUCUGCUCUCAUCUUUCUCAAGCUCCUAAGGAUGUAUGUCACAGCCCUUCCCCAAAGAUCGUGCGGUGGCACUGGGAAGAAAACCGAAAGGUGAGAUGACUUGUUUAUGGAGAAUCGUCAGUGAGUCAGAACUCACACAGAGCUCUGGAGUUUCCAGGCCGUUAGCUUAUCUUCCUGAACGUAUGAGUCAGGGUCAGUCCAGCCCAGGUAGUACCGGUACG